CUUCCAGGCACUGUGCUAGGCCCUGGGGAUACUAAGAGGAAUGACGAGCUGAGGCAAACUCAUUGUGUCUCUUUGGACACAGGUGGCAGAGGAAGCUCUGGAGACCAUUGGCCACCUCUUCUGUCUGCUGUCAGUUGAAAAUCUUGAGAGUCGUGUUUACUGGUUAACCAAAUGGUUCACGACUCUGACUUCCACAGCAGUGAGGCCACUCUACAUGUGCAAGUGUCUCUGCGGCGUCCUGAAAGCCCUGUACCGCAGCAAACACGGAGGUCGCAAGGUACAAUCCUGGGCAGAGGAGCUGGCAGGCAUCCUCCUGAAGCAGAUGAGUGACAAAGAGAGCCAGCCACCAGCUCUUUGUGAUGAGACCGAAACAUUAUCCCUGAGGGCAUUUAACCUGUUGAGCCACUUAUGCCUGGACACCACAGUCCAUGUUCUGAAGAGGGCAAUAACCGCAGAAGAGGAGCCCACAGUGCUGGCAGCACUUGAGGCCUUCAGGGAGGUGAUCCAUGGAGCACCACAAGCGGAAACGCUGAAGAGGGAGGUGCUGGCUUCGGUUACUUCAGUGAUACAGAAGGAUCGAAGACCAGUGCGCAUGGCCCUCCUGAGAUUCCUGGAGGCGCUGGGGCAGCGUGACUACCUGAGCCUUCCCGAGGGCAGGGUGGUCAUAGAUUACCUCCUGAAGCUCAGCCAGUGGGACUCCUCGAAUGAAGCGGACAUUGGACUCAUGUCUUUGAAAGUCCUGCAGACGGUGUCCUUGCCCGUUCUUAUCAGCAUGCUAUGUGAGCCCGGCAACACCUCAGCUUUCGUGGUCUUGAGUGACACAGCCACAGAGGUGGCUCUGAGGGAACAAGCGCUGGGGCAGCCCCCCUACCUCAGCAGCUUCUAUGUCAGGAGUAAGUACAGGGAGGGGAGACCACGGUGGGGGGUUGGUCGACCACAGGCACUGGGGCUGCCCCAGGCAUGGGAGGGGUAGGCCCAGGUGAAUCCUGUGAGCAUGAGGGUUUGGGUCUGUGCUGUGCUAAGGCUGGGAACCCCACUCCUCAGUCCUGUUUGCAAAGGGUUAGGGCCACAGCCCGAGCCCAUUGGCCCUCAGCAGGGGAGGAAAGGAGCCUUCUUUGCAAGAUAGCUGCCCCCCACAGGCCCUCUGGCCUUCCCAUCUCAUUUUGCAACCCUGGAG
ensembl:lincRNA